AAAAAAAAACCAAAAA
rnacentral:sRNA from 1 species